GACGAACCGAGCGAACGUUGUUCGGAAUAACUGGGCUUAAAGGGCGCGUAGGCGGGCUGUCAAGUUUGGGGUGAAAUGCCACGGCUCAACCGUGGAACUGCCUCAAAUACUGACGGUCUCGAGGGGAGGUAGGGGCGAGCGGAACGGAUGGUGGAGCGGUGAAAUGCGUUGAUAUCAUCCGGAAACUCCGGUGGCGAAGGGCGGCU
rnacentral:rRNA from 1 species